GAUGAACGCUGGCGGCGUGCCUAAUACAUGCAAGUCGAGCGAACGGACGAGAAGCUUGCUUUUCUGAUGUUAGCGGCGGACGGGUGAGUAACACGUGGAUAACCUACCUAUAAGACUGGGAUAACUUCGGGAAACCGGAGCUAAUACCGGAUAAUAUUUUGAACCGCAUGGUUCAAAAGUGAAAGACGGUCUUGCUGUCACUUAUAGAUGGAUCCGCGCUGCAUUAGCUAGUUGGUAAGGUAACGGCUUACCAAGGCAACGAUGCAUAGCCGACCUGAGAGGGUGAUCGGCCACACUGGAACUGAGACACGGUCCAGACUCCUACGGGAGGCAGCAGGAGGGAAUCUUCCGCAAUGGGCGAAAGCCUGAAGGAGCAACGCCGCGUGAGUGAUGAAGGUCUUCGGAUCGUAAAACUCUGUUAUUAGGGAAGAACAUAUGUGUAAGUAAAUGUGCACAUCUUGACGGUACCUAAUCAGAAAGCCACGGCUAACUACGUGC
rnacentral:rRNA from 1 species